GCUAUCUCGGCUUCAAUCUAU
ensembl:piRNA 21ur-4137 ncRNA